CCGUGGCGGAUCACUGCUGAUACAACAUGAAUUAACCUCGUAUUUAAUAGGUAUUGUGUCUUAUGCUUAUAAGUGCGGCACAGCUGGGUAUCCCAGCGUUUACACUAGGGUCACAUCGUACCUUGACUUCAUUCUCCAAGCGAUGCAAUAAUAUGAUAUUACUGUUCCAUAAAUAUCAUUGUGUAAAAAACGUAAAGUUGGAUUUUCUUAUUGUGGAGAUAAGAAACAGCUCAAAUUUACAUUGUUUUGUACGUUACAAAUUAUAGGCUUAAAAUGUACGAAAUGUAACUUUGAAACGACACUAAUUUUUUACGCACGAUAAACCUCCACGACUUAGAUUAUAGAUUCCUAUACGACUCUCAGUAAAAAUUUAUCCGCACUCCAGAUAGUUAAAACUUCUGUCGACCGUAUUGAUCCAUCUGCACUCUUCGUAUGACGUCAAUAUCUGUUCAGUGCUGCUGCGCAGGUUUCUUUGUGUUACGUCAAUUCGUUUGUGACCGUUGCGUGAGUAAUGGCGCUUUGCAAUGGUGAUUUGCAGGAAAACAAUGCAGGAUGCUGUGAUUCGUUUCUUGUGGUCGGAGGUUAUGUUUGAUGCCUAUAUUUAUCAAAGAUUUAAUGCACAUUAUGGAGAAAGUGUUUUGUCACGAAGUGUGUUUGAAUGGGCACAAAAGUUCAAAGAAGAUCGCACAAGUGUUAUGAAAAAACAGCUGGACGCCCGUCCACAUCCACGAUGACAACAUUGAACGUGCUCAUGAACUUAUGCUCUAUGGAAUAGACGAGUGACACUGGAUAAUGUGGCAAAUCAUUUGCAAAUCAGCCACGGCUCUGCUUAUGCAAUAGUGCACGACAGAUUUGGAUUUUAAAAAGUUUAUGCGAGAUGGAUGCCGAAAAAGCUGAUGAAAAGGUGAAGACGACGAUGCAUUCGUGGUUCGCAGCUCAGCCCAAAACAUUUUUUAAUGAGAAAAUACGAAGGUCCUUCGGCAAAUGGACAAAGUGUAUACAGAAAUCGAGUGAUUAUGUCAAAAAAUGAUGUAUGUCUUUUUUGACAAUUGCUUAAAAUAAAUUCUACACCGACAGAGCGGGUAACUUUUUACUCACCCUCGCUGUUAAUCUAGAGGCUGGAGUACAAAGAAGUGGCACAAUGAUGUGGGCUGAUGACAUUUAUAAUUAUCAAGGAAUCACCCCUACAUUCGCUCAGAAUUUUAAUGAAACUGUCCCUUGGGAAGGAAGAACUGAUACCUUGAUAUCACGGUUUGUACAUCCUAUAUAUACGACAAAUUUUAGAACAUUAUAUAACGAAGAACCAGAUCGUCGUGGCCAUGUGAUGUGAAUAAAAGGACUUGAAUUUGAUGAUAUUUUUAUAAUGUUAGAUAACAUAACUAAGUAUCUUCACAGUAAGAUAGGAUGCCAUGGUUUACAUGAUCUUAAUGUUGUUCACUUGAGUGAUGAUAUUAUAAGGAAAAGUGUAAUAUCACAGGAUAUUUAUGUUUAGUAACCAGUAAUUCAGAGAUUGGUAUUCAUGGUUACUAUAACGAGGCUGUAGAAACGCACCCUUUCUUCUUUGCAAAUGGUCCUGUAUUUAUGUCUAAGCCGAAACUGGAACCUCUGAAUAAUUUAGAUUUAUUCUUGUUAUUUUCUAAAAUACUUAUCUACAGUAUACCAUAAGGAA